rnacentral:rRNA from 1 species
GGGUCAGUAGGUUGGUCGUGCCACCGGUACGUACUGGUCUCACUGAUUCCUCCUUCCUGAAGAACCGUAAUGCCAUUAAUUUGGUGUUGCGGGGAAACAGGACUGUUACUUUGAAAAAAUUAGAGUGUUUAAAGCAAGCUAACGCUUGAAUACAUUAGCAUGGAAUAACGAAAUAGGACGAUCGAUCCUAUUUUGUCGGUUUCUAGGAUUGACGUA